rnacentral:rRNA from 1 species
CACGUAGGGUGCGAGCGUUAAUCGGAAUUACUGGGCGUAAAGCGUGCGCAGGCGGUUUUGUAAGCCAGAUGUGAAAGCCCCGGGCCUAACCUGGGAAUGGCAUUUGGGACUGCAAGGCUGGAGUGUGGCAGAGGAGACUGGAAUUCCUGGUGUAGCAGUGAAAUGCGUAGAUAUCAGGAGGAAUACCGAUGGCGAAGGCAGGUCUCUGGGCUGACACUGACGCUCAUGCACGAAAGCGUGGGGAGCAAACAGG